GGGGGCGUAAAGGGUUCGACAGGGAUGCUGAUCCACGGUAAGCGAGUAGUGAGGCGGAAUCACUUUAAUCAGCCGCAAACUUUAAAAUAAACGACAACAAUACAGUUGCGUUAGCAGCCUAAGUGCUGCUCGUCCGAGUCCGAAGCACCGCGGUCGGAUAAGGGCGUCGAAUUAGCGGUGAACGUGAACGCAUAGCCGCUCUGCUAUGCGUCAUGACCUAUAGAGCUACCGAAAUUUAAAGCCUGACAGACGGCGUUGCUUUGAGGGAAUUUUUUAAAUAGACUGUCUGCACUCGGAGAAAACUAUGGGGACGCAUUUUUGGACAGGGGUUCAAUUCCCCUCGCUUCCACCA
rnacentral:tmRNA from 1 species